rnacentral:snRNA from 12 species
GUACAUACCAGGUAGGGGAGAUCCCCUUCUUCUCAGCCUUGAAUGACUUGGCGUAGUUGAGGGUGGAGACCUGUCCAUUGCCCAGUGGGCAGGCACCCCUGCGUGAGUCUACUAUAGCCUCCCAGUGGGAGGAUCUCAGCUACACAAUUUAUGGUGACAGGGGACUGCUUUUGGGCUUUCCCUCU